CUCCCUUGGGCCCCGAGGAGCCCCGACUCACCGCACCCCCACCCCCACCGCCACCUCCCGCGUCCGGACUUCCGUCUUCGGUUAAACGGUCGCCCACGCUAGCCGCCCCAAUGGGGAGACCCUUUCCACGGGGCCGGGGAUGUGGGGGAGGGGGCGCGUGACAACCAGCACGUGCCCAUCCCGGGCUCGUUAAAGGUCACGUUCCUGAGCCAUAAACUGAACCCUCAGGACCCCCUUUUUUCCUUCAUCUCCCAGCCUGGGAUGACAGCCCCAGUUCCCACACGGCCACCACGAACUUGCAAUUUGAUGGCUCUAUUUGGAGAAAGAUUUACACAUCGGGCUUUAAUUUGCUCUUCGGGAUUUCAUUUCAUGGAGGAGUUUGCUCCUCCUGAGGCAGAAGUCCCUUUUUGGGGGGGUUGGGGGGAGUCAUGGACCUCUUUGGCAGUCUGAAGCCUUUGGAUCUCUUCUUAGUGUUUUUAAAUGCAGGGGUGGGGGGCGGGGACCAUAGGAAGCUGUAUUAGCAUACAGUUAAAAUUUUUUAAAGUUUUAUGGACUCGAGUAAGACUGCCUGUCCUGUGUCCUGAAGAUCGACUGUUACCUUAACUGUGCAGCCUGGCAGACAUGUAUUUCAAUUCUGUUCAGCCUACGUCAAGUGCUUUCUGUGUAUGAGCAAGAUUGUGGGCCGGCCUGUUGAUUUUUUAUUCCUAAUAAGGCAGCUGACAGUUUUUCACAGUAUUUUAAAGACCCAGAUCAUGUGAAAAGUGAAUGACGUUUUCCCUGUUCCCCAAGAACUCAGGCUAUUGAGAACUGUCACCUAGGAAAAAUGGAAAUACUAAAUAGUAAAGCGUUAAAAGUAAUUUCUAAAAAUUAACCAUUAGCAAUACUAAAUAUCAAAUACUAGAAGACUAAUUACCAUAAUGGCUUUGUUAUUACAAGGUUGGGUAUCCUUAUAAUGCAAAAAAAAACAAACAAACCCAAAACAAUUCAAAAAGCAAACCAAUAAGCCCCUGAAUUGCAAACUCCAUCAGGGUUCUUUUACUUUCUUGAAGCAAACUACAUGCAGUUAUCUACUCAGAAGUUAAUUCAUGGUUUCUCGUAUGCAUUUCACAGUUAACCAGUUCACCCUCAUUUUGAAGUAAAAAUAAAAUAGCUUUGGGGAAGACAAUAUUAUAAUAAUUGGAAUGUUGGCAGUGAAUUGCUGAAAGGCUAGGGAACUUUAUCUGAUUUCAGUCUCUCUUACUUGAGUUACCUUUAGCUUUCUCUGAUCAUCAGUUUCCUCAUUUUUAUAAAUAGGAUAUUCAGCUAAGUAAUCUCCGACAUCCUUUUCUGCACUAACCUAUGACUGAUCUUGUGCCUGGUUGGUAGUUUAUUUGAAAUUUCCUGUAAAUAAUUGAGUUUAUAGUAGUAAGUAAAAUUGUAAGUUGGUGUACUUAGGCAAACAAUGAAGCAUAACUUGUUUCUACUUUGAAAGAAGGGAGACUGCUAUUAUAAAAUGAUAAAAUUGAAUUUAUAAAGCUCUUUACAACUUACAAAGCAUUCUUUACAACAAUCUUUUGAGACUAAUUUAGAAUUAUUAUCCAGUUUUUAUAGAUAAAGAAAAGGAGAGUCAGAGAAAUUGCUGCAGUAACCCCAUAAAUGACAGAUAGACCUGUCCCAGAUCUUUUGACUGAAGUCUUACGUUCUUUCCCUCCUAGCCCUACCAUUAGACUUUUGUAUAGAAAUCUGUAUCAACAAAAUUAUUUUUAAAUGCUCACUUGGCAGAAAAUGUAUUAGGUGACCUAGGGAACCACAAAAGAAACAGAUACAUUCUCUAUGCUCAAGUAGUUUUCUGUAGGUUCCUUUAAAAGAUGUUUUAUAAUUAUGAGGUUAAUAAAUAAAUAAAAUAAAUAAAACAGUUAUGCCAUUAUAAAUAUAAGGCAAAAAUUAAUUCAAAUCUUUCUUUUGUAGAAUUAAAAGUGAGGGGGAAAAAGAAUUUAAGACAUACCCUAAUAUGAUAAUUUUGUAUUAAGUAUGACUUAUUAAAAUAAAGAUACCUCAAAUUUCAUAAUUCAUAGUUUAAAAGAAAAAAAAUUAUUGUAUUUAAGGAUUGUAUUUUCAUCAAUAAGGAUCGCCCUCCACCUUAGACUUUUCCAAACUAUAAACUGUCUUGUAGAGUUGUGGCCCAAAAUUUUAUUGCUCUGUGGCCAAGCUAGAUCAAACUACUUUGAAUUUACCAUAGACUUGUUCUUGGAAUGCAGACAUAGUCUGUUAUCUCUCCUUUCUUGAAGCCUUUCCUGGCAUGGUAGGACCAAAUUUGGACUCCAUUUGUAUAAUGUUCAAGACCCUGGGAUCUCCCAUACCCUUUGAGGUAGCAUUAGAGCAAGACUUUUGUGUUAAUAUUCUUAUUAGUUUAUUGAUAGAGAAUGUUUUAGAAGCCUCCCAGAACUGAUUCAAUAUUGAUUAAUUCAUGUGGUUAUAUAUAUUUCUGGAUUUAGAGUUGGAGAACCAAGGUUUGAUUAAUGGGUGUAAUUGGUUCUUAAUAGCUCUUAUUUUUUACAAUACAAUAAAGCCAAUGGGCAUAAAGGAAAAUAAAUCAACUAUUUGUACUUCUUAUAUUCUAUUUCUCCAUCAACUCCUUUUUUAGCAUCAUUUUCAUUUUCAGUUCACUUUUUAAAAAAAUCAGUGCUAUCUAUGUUUAUCUGGUUUCACUAUAUUUAAUUUUAGAUUGCAAGCUGUGGGACAGAAUAAUUACUCUAUGUGUAUACAGCAUCACACUGUGGGUCCCUAAGAAUGUAUACUGACACCAUCACCAUUGAGUUUUCAGCUUGAUGCAGUUGACUUCAGUUAUCUAGAGAAUUUUUAUCAUUUAAAGUUUCUUAGAUUUUUAUAGAUAAUUUUCAGGCCACUGGUAAUUAGAAGAGCACCUAAAAUAUUCAUAAGAUUCUGUAUAAUAUAAAAGACAUGGUCAUUGACUGUUUUAAUGAUGUCUUCAACUACUCUUUGUGACUAAGAAGAGGUCCCAGGAAAGGAAAAUCUUUGGAGGGGGAUACUUAAAAAAUAUUCCUUUAGUAAAGAAAUAAUGUACUCAUAGUAAAUAAUAAUACUAAAAAUGCGAUGUGGGGUACUUUAGGAUUUGCAUACAUUUUUCUUUUGAUCCUCACACUUACCUAGAAGAUAUUAGGGACCAAAUUCUUAGGUAUUCAGAAGGUUUAUAUUUUGCAUGUGAUAGCCUGAAGGGCAUUCAUUCUAAUGAGUAGGAUUUUCAGAUAAUAAUUAUAGUGUUAGAAAGGACCUUAGAGGGAUUUAUUUCACAAAUGAGGAAACUAAGAUUGACAAACCCUGGUUCUCCAACUGAAUCCAGAGGUCUUUCCAUUGCACCACUACCCCAUCUAAUGAUUUUUUUAAAAAUCCUCAUCUUCUUCAAAUUUAUUCUAAGUAUAGGUUUCCAGGCAAAAGAACAGUAAGGGCUAGGCAUUUGGGGUUCAAUGAUUUGCCUAGGGUCACUCAGCUAGAAAGUAUUUGAAGUCAAAUUUAAACCAAGAAACUCCUAUCUCCAGGCCUGGCUCUCAAUCCAAUGAGCCACCUACCUGCUCCACUCCUAAUGAUUGAUGAAUGAAUAAUUUUUUUGUAAGGUACUUAACAGAUGCCAAGGUUCAAUCUUAGUCAAUUGAUUGGUUGAUUGAAAUAAGAAUAAGAACUUACUAAAGUGUGCCAAAUCCUAGGAAUACAGAGACUCUAUCCUCAAGAAUUUAUAUCCUAAUAAUAGGAAACAGUAUUCAUAGGAAAGUGGGGACCAGAGAUAUUUGGUGUUUGUUUGGUUACUCAGACACUACAAGCUGUGUUAUCUUGACCGAUUACUAAACCUGUUUGCCUUAGUUUCCCCAAUUAUAAAAAAGGGAUUAUAGUAGCACUUAUCUCUCAAGGUUAUGGUGAGGUGAGCAUCAAAUGAGAUAAUAUUUGUAAAGAACAUAGCUCAGUAUCUGGACACAGAAGAUGCUUAAUUAAUGGUUAUUUUCUUCAUUUCCUCAGGGAGACCAACCAGCAAGCCAUUGCUAUACUUCAGGUGUGAGGGAAUGAGGACAUACAACAGGCUGAUGGCAAUGUCAGAAGAGAAAAAGGGACUGACAACACCCUGUGAGUUCAGCAGAGCCGGUUUUAUUUUCCCCAUUUUACUGAUUGGAUAAUCUCAAUCCAGAGAGGGAAAUGAAGACGAAAAGACAGCCCAUGCCCUCAAGAAACUCACAUUCUAAUAGAGGAGACAGCUUGGCAGACAACAAUGGCCAGCUUUUAAAUCAGGAUGCUUUAAGGACAUUCUCGGCACCCCACACAAGUUAAAUAAUAUCAUCAAUACCAACAAAAGAAACUGACUGACAGAUGAACAAAGAAGUCACUAAGCGGCAUCUGUAAAUAAGUAGAAGAGACCUAUCUUCUUCUAAGUCAAAGCUAGAUGAUGCAGAAGUGCUCAGCCUGGAGUCAGGAAGACUCAUUCUCAGUUCAAAUCUGGCCUCAGACACUUCCUAGCUCCGUGAUCCUAGUCAUUUUGCAGAAGAGAUGAAGAAGAAAAAGGAAGGAAGGAAGAAAGGAAGGAAGGAAUGGAGUAUUUUGGUCAGCAUUCAGACUCCAUCAAUUCUUUCUCUGGAAGAGGAUGGCAUUUUUCAUCUUAAGUCUCUGGGAUUGUCUUGGACCACUGUAUUACUGAAAAUAACUAGGUCAUUCAUAGUUAUUUAUCAAAAAAUAUUGCUGUUCCUAUGUACAAUAUUCUUCUGGUUUUGCUCACUUCACUUUGCAUCAGUUUAUGUAAGUCUUUCUACAUUUUUCUGAAAUCAUCCGGCUCAUCAUUUCUUAUAGAACAUUCUAUUACUAUCAUAUGCCACAACUUGUUCAGCCAUUCCUCAAUUGAUGGACAACCCCUCAGUUUUCCAAUUCUUUGUAACCACAAAAAAGAGGUACAAUAAAUAUUUUUUACAAAUAGGUCCUUUUUGGUGAUAUUGCUGGGUUUAAGUAUAUAUGCAUUUUUAGAGCCCUUUGGAAAUAGUUCCAAAUUGUUCUCCAGAAUAUUUGGAUUAGAUUACAACUCCACCAACAGGUGUGUUAGUGUCUCAAUUUUCCCAUAUCCCCUCCAAUAUUUAUCAUUUUCCUUUUCUGUCAUACUGGCUGAUCUGAUAUGUGUGA